UUCCUAAAGUUUAAAUUUUAGGUAAAACCUGCCCAAUGUUUUUAAAUCAAUGGCCGCGGUAUUUUGACCGUGCGAAGGUAGCAUAAUCAUUAGUCUCUUAAUUAGAGGCUGGCAUGAACGGUUAAACGAGAAAAGAUCUGUCUCUCACUAAAAGUUGGAAUUUUAUUAUUAAGUGAAAAAGCUUAAAUAAAUCUGAAGGACGAUAAGACCCUAUAGAGCUUAUUUGUUGGGGCGACAAUAAGACAAAAAAUAACUCUUAUUUAUUUUAACAUAAAUAAAUGAUUUAUUGAUCCUUAAAGAAAGAUCAUAAGAACAAGUUACCUUAGGGAUAACAGCGUAAUCCUUUUUAAGAGUUCAUAUCGACAAAAGGGUUUGCGACCUCGAUGUUGGAUUAAGAGUUUGCCAAGGUGUAGCAGCUUUGGUAAAAGGUCUGUUCGACCUUUAAAAUCUUACA
rnacentral:rRNA from 1 species